rnacentral:rRNA from 1 species
GACGAACGCUGGCGGCGUGCUUAACACAUGCAAGUCGAACGAGUGGCGAACGGGUGAGUAACACGUGGGUGAUCUGCCUUGCACUCUGGGAUAAGCUUGGGAAACUGGGUCUAAUACCGGAUAGUGCAAGAUGAGCUCGCGGCCUAUGAGCUUGUUGGUGGGGUACUGGCUACCAAGGCGCGACGGGUAGCCGGCCUGUGAGGGUGUACGGCCACAUUGGGACUGAGAUACGGCCCAGACGCCUACGGGAGGCAGCAGUGGGGAAUAUUUCACAAUGGGCGGAAGCCUGAUGCAGCGACGCCGCGUGAGUGAAGAAGGUUUUCGGAUCGUAAAGCUCUGUUGUUAGAAAAGCGGUAACUAACCAGAAAGGGACGGCUAACUACAUGCCAGCAGCCGCGGUAAUAC